rnacentral:rRNA from 1 species
GUUGCUUCGGCGGACUCGCCCCAGCCGGACGCGGACUGGACCAGCGGCCGCCGGGGACCAUCAAACUCUUGUAUUAUCAGCAUCUUCUGAAUACGCCGCAAGGCAAAACAAAUAAAUUAAAACUUUCAACAACGGAUCUCUUGGCUCUGGCAUCGAUGAAGAACGCAGCGAAAUGCGAUAAGUAAUGUGAAUUGCAGAAUCCAGUGAAUCAUCGAAUCUUUGAACGCACAUUGCGCCCGCCAGCAUUCUGGCGGGCAUGCCUGUUCGAGCGUCAUUUCAACCCUCGACCUCCCUUUGGGGAAGUCGGCGUUGGGGACCGGCAGCACACCGCCGGCCCUGAAAUGGAGUGGCGGCCCGUCCGCGGCGACCUCUGCGUAGUAAACCAACUCGCACCGGAACCCCGACGUGGCCACGCCGUAAAACACCCAACUUCUGAACGUUGACCUCGAAUCAGGUAGGACUACCCGCUGAACUUAAGCAUAUCAAUAA